rnacentral:rRNA from 1 species
GACCUGGCUCAGAUUGAACGCUGGCGGCAUGCUUUACACAUGCAAGUCGAACGGCAGCAUGGAGAGCUUGCUCUCUGAUGGCGAGUGGCGAACGGGUGAGUAAUACAUCGGAACGUGUCCUGUUGUGGGGGAUAACUACUCGAAAGAGUAGCUAAUACCGCAUAAGACCUAAGGGUGAAAGCGGGGGACCUUCGGGCCUCGCGCAGUUGGAGCGGCCGAUGACUGAUUAGCUUAGG